CUAUCAUUUGAAGAUUUUUCACGUCUUAAUGUUUUCUCAUGAGUCAGACAGGAGGAUUUUAAGAUUUGCUGGUGAUUGGCCAUCUCCACUUGGAAAACACUAUUUGAAGAGAGAGGUUAUUUCAUGAAAGCAAAAGCGGGAUGGAGGGGAAGAUUGACCUAUGUGAUAUUCAUUCCCCUCGAUUAAUUUUAUUUUCUGAAAAUUGGCUCAAACUAUCUGACUUACAUGUACACUAUAUUGCCUCUUGAUUUUGUGACUUUUCUAUGCAAGCUAUUAUUGUCUAAACAGAUGCGUUAUUUAUGCUAGGCUUUUUGAGACAAUCGUCAAUGGGAGAAGCUGCUAAUGAAUUCCUUUAUAGUGCUUUGGACGUGAACUCAUGGUGGUGAUUGAUUUCAAAUGAAAAUUUUCAAGCUGAAAUUAAGUACACAAGCAGCUAAAUUUUGUUUCCAUGAUUUUAUUGUACUUCUCUGAUAUUUUUUUCAUGAUUGCCGAUUGCAGCUUCGACUGUCAUAAAAAUUACGAUGCUCUUCCCAGGGUUCUUGCAAUCUUCACUUUCAGCUUGAGUUGUUAGCCUUCAAAAUUCUUGGAAUAAGAAAA